GUACGGCGGAACACGAGAAAUUCCGUCGGAAUCCGCGGGGACCAUCCCGCAAGGCUAAAUACUCCCUAGUGACCGAUAGUGAACCAGUACCGUGAGGGAAAGGUGAAAAGCACCCCGGAAGGGGAGUGAAAUAGAUCCUGAAACCGUGUGCCUACAACAAGUCAAAGCUCGUUAAUGAGUGAUGGCGUGCCUUUUGUAGAAUGAACCGGCGAGUUACGAUUGCAUGCGAGGUUAAGUCGAAGAGACGGAGCCGCAGCGAAAGCGAGUCUGAAUAGGGCGAAUGAGUAUGUAGUCGUAGACCCGAAACCAUGUGAUCUACCCAUGUCCAGGUUGAAGGUGCGGUAAAACGCACUGGAGGACCGAACCCACGUACGUUGAAAAGUGCGGGGAUGAGGUGUGGGUAGCGGAGAAAUUCCAAACGAACUUGGAGAUAGCUGGUUCUCUCCGAAAUAGCUUUAGGGCUAGCCUCGGAAUUGAGAAUGAUGGAGGUAGAGCACUGUUUGGACUAGGGGCCCAUCUCGGGUUACCGAAUUCAGAUAAACUCCGAAUGCCAUUCAUUUAUAUCCGGGAGUCAGACUGCGAGUGAUAAGAUCCGUAGUCGAAAGGGAAACAGCCCAGACCACCAGCUAAGGUCCCAAAAUAUAUGUUAAGUGGAAAAGGAUGUGGGGUUGCACAGACAACUAGGAUGUUGGCUUAGAAGCAGCCACCAUUUAAAGAGUGCGUAAUAGCUCACUAGUCGAGUGACCCUGCGCCGAAAAUGUACCGGGGCUAAACAUAUUACCGAAGCUGUGGACUACACCAUUAGGUGUAGUGGUAGGAGAGCGUUCUAAGGGCGUUGAAGGUCGAUCGUGAGGACGGCUGGAGCGCUUAGAAGUGAGAAUGCCGGUAUGAGUAGCGAAAGACAGGUGAGAAUCCUGUCCACCGUAUGACUAAGGUUUCCUGGGGAAGGCUCGUCCGCCCAGGGUUAGUCGGGACCUAAGCCGAGGCCGAUAGGCGUAGGCGAUGGACAACAGGUUGAUAUUCCUGUACCAGUUGUUUUUGUUUGAGCAAUGGAGGGACGCAGUAGGCUAAGGAAUGCAUGCGAUUGGAAGUGCAUGUCCAAGCAAUGAGUCUUGAG
rnacentral:rRNA from 1 species